rnacentral:rRNA from 1 species
GACGUAGGGCGCGAGCGUUGUCCGGAUUUAUUGGGCGUAAAGAGCUCGUAGGCGGCUUGUCGCGUCGAAUGUGAAAAUCUCAGGGCUCAACUCUGACAUUGCAUUCGAUACGGGCAGGCUAGAGUUCGGUAGGGGAGACUGGAAUUCCUGGUGUAGCGGUGAAAUGCGCAGAUAUCAGGAGGAACACCGGUGGCGAAGGCGGGUCUCUGGGCCGAUACUGACGCUGAGGAGUGAAAGCGUGGGGAGCGAACAGG